rnacentral:tRNA from 1 species
GGAGAGGUCGCAUAGUGGCCUAGUGCGCGCGCCUGGAAAGCGCGUAGGGUAUUACCCUCGUGGGUUCGAAUCCCACCCUCUCCGCCA